UACGUAGGGAGCAAGCGUUGUUCGGAUUACUGGGCGUAAAGGGCGCGUAGGCGGCGCGGUAAGUCACUUGUGAAAUCUCUGAGCUUAACUCAGAACGGCCAAGUGAUACUGCAGUGCUAGAGUGCAGAAGGGGCAAUCGGAAUUCUUGGUGUAGCGGUGAAAUGCGUAGAUAUCAAGAGGAACACCUGAGGUGAAGACGGGGUUGCUGGGCUGACACUGACGCUGAGGCGCGAAAGCCAGGGGAGCAAACGGGG
rnacentral:rRNA from 1 species